UAGGGAAUCUUCCGCAAUGGGCGAAAGCCUGACGGAGCAACGCCGCGUGAGUGAUGAAGGUCUUCGGAUCGUAAAACUCUGUUAUUAGGGAAGAACAAAUGUGUAAGUAACUAUGCACGUCUUGACGGUACCUAAUCAGAAAGCCACGGCUAACUACGUGCCAGCAGCCGCGGUAAUACGUAGGUGGCAAGCGUUAUCCGGAAUUAUUGGGCGUAAAGCGCGCGUAGGCGGUUUUUUAAGUCUGAUGUGAAAGCCCACGGCUCAACCGUGGAGGGUCAUUGGAAACUGGAAAACUUGAGUGCAGAAGAGGGAAGUUGAAUUCCAUGUGUAGCGGUGAAAUGCGCAGAGAUAUGGAGGAACACCAGUGGCGAAGGCGACUUUCUGGUCUGUAAAUGACGCUAAUGUGCGAAAGCGUGGGGAUCAAACAGG
rnacentral:rRNA from 1 species